CCUACGGGAGGCAGCAGUGAGGAAUAUUGGGCAAUGGGGGCAACCCUGACCCAGCCAUGCCGCGUGAGUGAAGAAGGUCUUCGGAUUGUAAAGCUCUAUCAGCAGGGAAGAAGAUGACGGUACCUGAAUAAGAAGCCCCGGCUAACUACGUGCCAGCAGCCGCGGUAAUACGUAGGGGGCAAGCGUUAUCCGGAUUUACUGGGUGUAAAGGGAGCGCAGACGGCAGUGCAAGUCUGGAGUGAAAGCCCGGGGCCCAACCCCGGAACUGCUCUGGAAACUGUGCGGCUAGAGUACUGGAGGGGCAGGCGGAAUUCCUAGUGUAGCGGUGAAAUGCGUAGAUAUUAGGAGGAACACCAGUGGCGAAGGCGGCCUGCUGGACAGUAACUGACGUUGAGGCUCGAAAGCGUGGGGAGCAAACAGGAUUAGAUACCCCAGUAGUC
rnacentral:rRNA from 1 species